rnacentral:rRNA from 1 species
GAUGAACGCUGGCGGCGUGCCUAAUACAUGCAAGUCGAGCGAACAGACGAGGUGCUUGCUCCUCUGAUGUUAGCGGCGGACGGGUGAGUAACACGUGGAUAACCUACCUAUAAGACUGGGAUAACUUCGGGAAACCGGAGCUAAUACCGGAUAAAAUGUUGAACCGCAUGGUUCAAGAUUGAAAGACGGUCUUGCUGUCACUUAUAGAUGGAUCCGCGCCGCAUUAGCUAGUUGGUAAGGUAACGGCUUACCAAGGCAACGAUGCGUAGCCGACCUGAGAGGGUGAUCGGCCACACUGGAACUGAGACACGGUCCAGACUCCUACGGGAGGCAGCAGUAGGGAAUCUUCCGCAAUGGGCGAAAGCCUGACGGAGCAACGCCGCGUGAGUGAAGAAGGUCUUCGGAUCGUAAAACUCUGUUAUUAGGGAAGAACAAAUGUGUAAGUAACUAUGCACGUCUUGACGGUACCUAAUCAGAAAGCCACGGCUAACUACGUG